UACGGAGGAUGCGAGCGUUAUCCGGAUUUAUUGGGUUUAAAGGGUGCGUAGGCGGACGCUUAAGUCAGCGGUAAAAUUGCGGGGCUCAACCUCGUCGAGCCGUUGAAACUGGGUGCCUUGAGUGGGCGAGAAGUACGCGGAAUGCGUGGUGUAGCGGUGAAAUGCAUAGAUAUCACGCAGAACUCCGAUUGCGAGGGCAGCGUACCGGCGCCCAACUGACGCUGAAGCACGAAGGCGUGGGUAUCGAACAGG
rnacentral:rRNA from 1 species